AAUGCGUAGAGAUCAGGAAGAACACCGGUGGCGAAAGCGCUCUGCUGGGCUACAACUGACACUGAGGGACGAAAGCUAGGGGAGCGAAUGGGAUUAGAUACCCCAGUAGUCCUAGCGGUAAACGAUGGAAACUAGGUGUGGCCUGUAUCGACCCGGGCCGUGCCGGAGCAAACGCGUUAAGUUUCCCGCCUGGGGAGUACGCACGCAAGUGUGAAACUCAAAGGAAUUGACGGGGGCCCGCACAAGCGGUGGAGUAUGUGGUUUAAUUCGAUGCAACGCGAAGAACCUUACCAGGACUUGA
rnacentral:rRNA from 8 species